CCUGGGUGCAAAGAGGACAGGUGACAGCAGUGUUCCUCCCUGUGUUGUUCCUAUACCACCAGCAUUUGGGUUAGCAGCAACACACGCACACAUGAGCAUGCAGCAAAGAGGCAACAGCUGCUUCUCGCUGGCCCAGAUUGGGAUUUUAAUUAAGGAGAAGAUUUGGGGGAAUAAAGGGGGGAAAUCAUUCUGAAAGCUUUAAUUAAAGAAGCUCAGGGCGAGGCAGGGUGAUGGGAAGGGAUGCAUCCUGCUGUGGCUGGGGAGGGUGAGUUCUGACCCCAUUGGGACACACAGCGUGGAGGGGAUGGGGCGGCCCCUGUGCACCCCCUGGAUUGAGAUGCUGCAGAUCUCCAGUGAGACCCAAAGGCAGAGAAGGUGUGAGAGGAGCACAGCUGAACCCAACCCCUGCCACAAAGUGUGGGCACCUGUGUUGGGAACACAGCUGGACUAAACUCCUGCAGCACAAAGACUCCACGAAGUGCCUUUCCAAAGGGCAAGAGCCCACCUUCAUCGGAGGCCACAGCCAAAGGAGAGAGGUUUGGACCCCAUCCUGACACCCAGAACUGGGGUUGCAUCCUUGGACAUGUGAGAUGCAGCCAUGUGCCCAGGGCUGGGGCUUCUCUGUCACCAGUAAAUGGGGUUUGGGAGAGAAAAGUGCCACGUCAGUCCCACAAAGGCCCCCAGCAGGCCAUCACCCCCUGCUUGCUCCAGGCUCCCCAGACCUCUGAUGUGCACACAGAAAGCUGUUGGGCUCCAGGACCCAAAUGAAGCCAGGGAGAAGAUUCCAGUGCUGUUUUAAAGCAAUUUUCCUUUUCCCUGGCACGUUUGCCAUUGCACAGCUCCAGCUCAUUCCUCAGCUCCGAGGCCGUGCAGGACCUGUUGCAAGUAGAGAUGCUGUGGGGGGAGCUUUGCUGAGGGUCACUGCAACCCAGGGAAUUCCAAACCUAUUGCAUCACUCCUCUGAGCAUUGCACACCUCAAUCCCAGGCUGCAGCUUUCAUCUUAAGCAAUCACGUACAAAGUGUCGUUUUGCAUAAGAAGAAAGGAGCACGUCACUCUAGAAGUGAUCUCAUCAUCCCUGAGCCCGGAGUUACACCGAGCAAAGCAAAGCUGCUAUCGAGGGAACUGCUUUGGUCUCAUCAAGGUUCCCACCUCCUCCACCCCAAAGCAGCUCCGAGAUGCAAAUCAAGCACAAAAGCCACCCGGGCUCCUCCGCAGCCCUCUGCCCACGUGCCUGGAAGGCAGCAGCCGGCGCCAGCGCCGCGUGGUGUGUGCAGAAAGGUUAACGCAGUGUGCAAUGGGCCGGGGGCACUGCGUGGGGCUGAGCGGCUCUGGGCAAAGCUGGAGGGUCCCGCGUGGGAGGUGACCUCUGUGGGGACCCCAACACCUCCCUGAUGUGCUUGUUUCAAUCCUCGAUAUUUUCAGGCUUUGCACUGCUCUCCCCCUCUGGCCCCCACGUUUCCCCCCCCCACCACCUCUGCAAAAGCAGCAGGAAGGCGGAGCUGGGAGCUGCACCUGCUGGGCAGGGUGGGAGCUUUCACCCGACCUCUCCUUAUGCUUUGCUUUGGGGUCCUGUGCACCGAGUCGCCCUGGUUUCCCAGCACCCCAACACGGGGCAUUUGCUGUUGGCCCCGCUGCAAGUCCCGGGGCAGGCAGCAGAAAGCAGCUCCAGAAAUGUACAGGCUUUGGGCCCAUUGCCCGUGUGUGGGCUGGGCUUGCAAAGCAGAUGGAGAGAAGGGGCUUGGAGGUGCUUCACUCAAGACAGGGGUGAAAACAGUGCGAAACCUGUAAACUUGUAUUUAUAUAAUGGCCGAUUAUCAGGGAGACCACCCGGAUGUCCACGGUUAAACCAGAGCUCUGCUCACCCCAAAACAAAGCACCCACGUUCUGCAUCCAGAGCAGUACCAGCAGAUGCAUCCUCAGCAGCUCCUGUGGGCAGCACAGCCCUUCCCACCCCCUGCGGACCUAACUUUGAGGCCAUUCCUCCCCAGUGGGCUGCACCAGGCACCCCAGGGGCCAGCUGGGAUGAUUUCAGGGCCGCUCAGCUGCCUGGCUGGGGGUGGGGAAGGUAAUCCAUAUUGCUGAGGUCUCAUUGGUAUUCUGCAGUUUCAGCUCAUUAGCCCUUAGGUGCUAUCAGAGCGAGAGCAUUGGAAGUUUCUGGGCUGAGACAGCUAUUAGGAGAGGAUGGAACGCAUCUCACACAACCCGAUGCCCUGCAAGAGCUCACUGAUUUACGCUAUCGAUCUUGAAGGUGCCCACACGCUGCCUGAACCUAAAAAAACCCAACCCUGCCCUACAUACAGCCCCAGCCACCUUCAGAAAAGAGAGGAAGGGAAGGGAAGG
ensembl:lncRNA